UCCCUUCAAGAGCAGGGAGAGCCGCUGGAAGGAAAACCAAUCGCAGGGAUGCAGCACCUGGCCCGUGUCUGCACUUCUGGUCCCAUUCUCGUAGGCUGUGCAAGGGCUCCCUGCGGGUUCGUGCGACCUCGGUCGGUUCUGUUGCCACUAGGUGACACUCUCGAUCCAGCACGUUUUGCGGCUUCCAGGAGCGUUUCUGGGCCGGAGGAAGACAAGCUUGGACCAGGACUUCACGUAAGGCUCCAGUUGCUGGAGGGAAUGCAGCAUGCUCAGGUGCUCAGGCUUUGUUCAGUCUGCUCUGGAGCAGAAGCUCUGCGGUGAAGCUGAGAUGCUCCAAGCUUGGGGUGCAGCGGUGCUGAGAAGGAAGCGGGGCGUUGGAGCAGCAGCGUGGCCCAGCUGGGAUAAACGUGUGCCGCUGCAGUGAUUUAUCCCAGCUGGGAGGCCGCCACAGCGUGGGCUCAGGGUGGGUUUCCUUGCUUGUUCCCAGCACAGAUGGGACGAGGAAGUGAGGCUUUCCUGGUACAAACGCAUUUCUAAAGCAACCUCCUGCUGCGAUCAGAGCCUCGCGUGUGCGUGCUCUGCCCCGGGCUGCCUGCCAGGACAGCGUGACGCAGGGCCGGCUGCGGAGGUUUGCAUGGGAGCAGAGCGUCCCAGGAGGAGAUCCUGCAGAUGCAAAGGGGCAGAAGCCACGCGCAGGCACCCAGGGGAGCUCAUCCUGAGCAGCUAUGGAGUGGCACACUGCUGGGGGGAGCACCGUGCUCCUCACACACAGAGAUGAGUCCUGCUGUGCAUCUCCCUUCUGUCUUGCUCGCAGAUGGCAUCCAGGCCAGGCACUCCCAUUCAGCUGCUAGGAAAAGUGGGACAGUUGUUGAAAAGCAGAUUAGCGAAGCAGAUCUUGAUAAAGAGACAAAGUUCUGUUCCUUCCCUUCAUUCACGUUCUCGUUUCCCACUGGUAUCACAGGCAGUGCGUUAGGGUCACACAGGCACAUCCUCACAACUCGCUGCUGCUGUGGCCACGGAGAUGCAGGGGUGUCCCAUUGUCCCAUCUCUCCAUCAGCACUGAGGUCGGUGCCUGUGGCUGCGGUGCCCUCAGUGGGCCCUGAGCCCGUUUGAAGGACAAACCCUGCCAGCAACGAGAAGAAAACGAUCAGUGUCUGCCAAGCACCUCGAGGUACUGACUGUGAAAGGUGGAGGUGGGAGCUCAGGUUGCACGAUGGCACCUGGAGAUUUGGAAGCAUCUUCUGGAGGAUGGGUUGGAGGAGCUGCUGGGGCACGUAGGGUCCUCAGCCUUGCUACCAAAGGGGCAAGUCGCCCUGGGCCCACCCAGCCCCCUGCCUGCCUCUGGCUGCUGUCUGAGAGGGCAGCUGCAGGUACUGGAUGCAGGCUUUGUUGCUCUGUAUUUGGUUAUGCAAAAUUGUGCUCUCGUCAGCCGGCACUGAGGACGGAACCUUGCACUCAGCACUGGCGGUCGGGCUCAGCCUCAGAGCGCUGUUGGCCUGCAAAGUGAGCAUGGGGUCUGCACGGCAGAGGGGAGGCAGAGCACGGUGCGGGCUGUGUCUUUAAGGCACAGAAGGGAACUCUCUGGCUGCCACUUCGCAAAGUUUAGCCCAAAUCCCCGUGUUCAUUAGCAAUUCAUUGCAUCUCCUCCUCUCCCCUCCGCCCCACCUCCUCCGUAUCGGCAUUUCUGCAUCCUGCGCUGUGCAUCGCAGAGCAGCAGGUAAAAGUCUGGCUGGCUGCUGCACGCACACCGUUCACGCACAUCCCCGCACGCCCGACGCACCUCUGCCUGGGGCCAGGCACCGCCGGGCGGCUUCCCGUGCUCCUGCAUCUUCCUCCCCGCGUCUGAGCGUGGCUGGGUGCAUCCCCGCGCCCACCCCAGGGCUGCUCUGCCUCUCCUCGCCGUCUCCGGCUGCAGCAGCAAAGCUCAGGCACGGAGGAGGUCGGUGGGGCAGAGCCCUGCAGGUGGGCGAAGGCAGCGGAGAGCUGAGAGCUGAGAGCUGAGCGUCCCCAGCGCUGCGUGGUCCGUCUGACUCCCUGGUGCAGAGCAUCACAGAGUCCGGCGUGUCCUCCCGUCCAGAGCUCCCCGGUGCCCACGGCAUCCUCGGCGUCCAGCAGCGCUGUCCGGGCACAUCCCGGCACGGAGGGGAUUCGCAGGGACGAGCAGAAGCCUGGCUGUGAGUAACAGGGAGGGGAACCUUGCUGCUCAUCGGCUCCUGGAAAUGUCACUCUGUCUUGAUUGCCAGUGAAGAGAGAGAGCAGGGGAAGAGAGGGAGAAGAGAGCAGCAAGGAGGACAGCCGGAGAGAUGGAGCUCCCUCCCCUGGAGCCGGUUCCUGCCAUGAUCACAUAGCACAGGUGGAGAAGGUCCCCGGCUGCAGAGCCAGCCCCGCUGCCCCGCUCCUCAUGGAAGGCAUUUUGGGAUCCCCCAAUGCCAGCGUGCUGGGAGAGCGCUCACUGCUGGUGGGGAGCAGCUGGAUGGCCGCCUUCCUCUGCUUCAUCAUCCUGCUGACCACAGCCGGGAACUUCCUCCUCAUCCUCCUCAUCGUCACCCAGCGCUCCCUCCGCAACACCUCCAACUACUUCCUGGUGUCUCUCUUCAUGUCCGACCUGAUGGUGGGGUUGGUGGUGAUGCCCCCCGCCAUGCUCAACCAGCUCUACGGCCACUGGGUGCUGAGAGGAGACUUCUGCUCCCUCUGGUACGCCUUCGACGUCAUGUGCUGCAGCGCCUCCAUCCUCAACCUCUGCGUCAUCAGCUUGGACCGCUACCUGCUCAUCAUCUCCCCUCUGAAAUACAAGCUGCGCAUGACAUCCUGCAGGGCCCUCUGGCUCAUCCUGGCCACCUGGACCUUGGCUGCUCUGGCCUCCUUCCUGCCCAUCAAACUGGGCUGGCACAAGCUGGAAUUCGAGGUUUGGUCCCCAAACGUCACCUCCCGGGGGGACGAGGAGCAGUGCCGGCUGGUGGUCAGCUUGCCUUACGCCCUGGUGGCCUCCUGCCUGACUUUCUUCCUCCCAUCCGCCGCCAUCUCCUUCACCUACUGCCGCAUCCUCCUGGCAGCUCGCAAGCAAGCCGUGCAGGUGGCUUCCCUCGCCUCCAACGUGGCCACUGCCACCACCGACGAGAGCACGGAGCAGGUUCCCCAUGCCCCAAGUCAGCCUGCAGCUGGCAGCGAGAGCAGGAGGUUUGCGAACAAGCACAGCAAGAAGGCGCUGAAGGCCAGCCUGACACUGGGCAUCCUGCUGGGCAUGUUCUUCGUGGCCUGGCUCCCCUUCUUUGUCACCAAUGUGACGCAGGCAGUGUGUGACUGUGUCCCUGCUGGCUUCUUUGACGUGCUCACCUGGCUGGGCUACUGCAACAGCACCAUGAACCCCAUCAUCUACCCGCUCUUCAUGAGGGACUUCAAGAGAGCCAUGGGCAAAUACCUGCCCUGCUGCCGGCGCACCGGGGAGCCCCGGCCCAGCGCCAUCUCUCUCUCCAUGAGGAACUCCAACAGCGGGCCCCGUGCGGCCACGUCCCUCAAGAACGUCCUCGCCUUGCAAGCUGAGACCGACUCCGUUGUCUCCGAGGCGGUGGCAAAUGAACACAGCCUGCAGCCGGCAGCUGAAGGUGCCCUGCCUGCCCCCACUGCUCGCUUGGUCGGCCUUUUUGAGAUGGAAAACCCAGAGCUGGAGCUGCAGUGCCGGCAGCUCGGCACCCCUGAGGCCUGAGUGCCACCUGGGUAUGUCCACUGCGCCCAGGGGAGGAGCUCAGCUUCUGCUUGUACAGCCCAGCAGGUCGCCCCUCACUCACAUCAAGGGGAAAAAAACAGAUGGGAAGCACGUCCUGUGACUCGCGGGCCAGAUUCGGGGCUGCUCCAGUGCUCAGCACAUCAUGUCCCCUGGGGACUUAAUUUUCUCGCCUGAUCUGGGCUGUUUCUGUCAGUUUCCUGUGAAAGCAGUGACUUGCAGCAUGCUGAAACCAUCCCAUGUAAUCACGAGCAGGCAGCGCUAUGGGGGAUUAAAUCUGGUGCAAAAUGCUCAACGCUGCUUUUUGGAUACUCCACACGGGUGUGGGUGUUCAGCUCGUUUGUAGCUCCACGGGUAUCCUGACAGUAGUAAGGAACGAAAUAAGCUUCCCUUCAGCUUUCAUCCCACAGCUUCCUAUUUCUGGCAUACAGCCAUCACACUUUGCUCUGACAACCCAUCAAUUUGAAGACGAUGCUGUUUAGAAAUCUUUUUCUUUUUUCUUUUUCUUCCAAUGCAGUCCGCAGGCACUUAAUAAACACCAACAACUUUUUUCUGCUAAUACUUCCUCAAGUGCCUUUCAGAUCAGAGAUGGGUUGGUCGGCUGUUGCUGUGCCCUUCCUGGACUGGUACUCCACCAGGAGGUUUUGGCUGCCCUCCUGAAGCCCACACUUGCACAAGAGAACCCCAAGCAUCCCUCCAACACAGGAGGCCAGGAGAAGAAAACCGCACGCCAGGCGAAGUCUCGUUCCUUGUCUUCCUGUGUUGCUGUGCUGUGUGUUCGACUGCAUGAGAAAUAAUCCAGAGGAGCAGCUAAAUAUCCCCUGCCUUCCAAGGGGUACAUCAAGAUUAAGCAGUACGUCUGUGAUGGAGCAAGGAGGAGCAGCGUCCUUUGAGUUUUCAUCUGCCACCAAGGGAA